rnacentral:rRNA from 1 species
AUUGAACGCUGGCGGCAUGCCUUACACAUGCAAGUCGAACGGUAACAGGUCUUCGGCCGCUGACGAGUGGCGCACGGGUGAGUAAUACAUCGGAACGUGCCCGAUCGUGGGGGAUAACGAGGCGAAAGCUUUGCUAAUACCGCAUACGAUCUACGGAUGAAAGCGGGGGAUCUUCGGACCUCGCGCGGCCGGAGCGGCCGAUGGCAGAUUAGGUAGUUGGUGGGAUAAAAGCUUACCAAGCCGACGAUCUGUAGCUGGUCUGAGAGGAUGAUCAGCCACACUGGGACUGAGACACGGCCCAGACUCCUACGGGAGGCAGCAGUGGGGAAUUUUGGACAAUGGGCGAAAGCCUGAUCCAGCCAUGCCGCGUGCAGGAUGAAGGCCUUCGGGUUGUAAACUGCUUUUGUACGGAACGAAAAGCCUCUUUCUAAUAAAGAGGGGUCAUGACGGUACCGUAAGAAUAAGCACCGGCUAACUACGUG